UUGACCUCAAAUCAGGUAGGACUACCCGCUGAACUUAAGCAUAUCAAUAAGCGGAGGAAAAGAAACUAACAAGGAUUCCCUCAGUAACUGCGAGUGAAGUGGGAAAAGCUCAAAUUUGAAAUCUGGCAGGUUCUACACACUGUCCGAAUUGUAAUCUAAAGAAGUGUUAUCUGUGCUGGACCAUGUAAAAGUCUUCUGGAAUGGAGCAUCAUAGAGGGUGAGAAUCCCGUCUUUGACAUGGACUACCAGUAUGUUUAUGGUACACUCUCAAAGAGUCGAGUUGUUUGGGAAUGCAGCUCAAAAUGGGUGGUAAAUGCCAUCUAAAGCUAAAUAUUGGCGAGAGACCGAUAGCGAACAAGUACCGUGAGGGAAAGAUGAAAAGAACUUUGGAAAGAGAGUUAAACAGUACGUGAAAUUGCUGAAAGGGAAACGCUUGAAGUCAGUCAUGUUAGCUGGAAAUCAGGCUUGCUUCUGCAAGGUGCACUUUCUAGUUGAUAGGUCAGCAUCAAUUUUGACCGUUGGAUAAAGGCAUUGGGAAUGUGGCAUCUUUGGAUGUGUUAUAGCCCAUUGUUGGAUACAACGGUUGGGAUUGAGGAACUCAGCAUGCCCCUUUGGGGUUCAGGUUUCGACCAUGUUCAUGCUUAGGAUGCUGGCGUAAUGGCUUUAAUCGACCCGUC
rnacentral:rRNA from 1 species